UACGUAGGGUGCGAGCGUUAAUCGGAAUUACUGGGCGUAAAGCGUGCGCAGGCGGUUAUGUAAGACAGAUGUGAAAUCCCCCGGGCUCAACCUGGGAACUGCAUUUGUGACUGCAUAGCUAGAGUACGGUAGAGGGGGAUGGAAUUCCGCGUGUAGCAGUGAAAUGCGUAGAUAUCGGAAGGAACACCAGUGGCGAAAGCGGCUUCCUGGUCCAGCACCGACGUUCAGGCACGAAAGCGUGGGGAGCAAACAGG
rnacentral:rRNA from 1 species